rnacentral:lncRNA from 1 species
GAAACACUUUAAAAGCUAUAAGCUGUGAAGUUCCAGAUAGAUGUCAGACUUUUUUAAAAUUGUCUUUUGUAAGGUCCCAUGCACCUUCAUAACUUCAUACAUAGAGAUCACAUCAUCCUCUAUGCUGCUUAGACCUCUCCAUACCCUCUAUCACAUUGCAGUUGUUCAUAUGAUGUGACUUCUUUGUUGGACCAUGACCCUUUGGACAGCACGUAAAGCAAGGCAUAUAGGAAGAGCUUCGUCAAUAUUUACGAAAUUUAAAUAAAGAUGAAGUUACGCAAGGCACAC